GGAAAUUAGAUACCCCUGGUAGUCCACGCCGUAAAACGAUGGAUACUAGCUGUCGGGGGUAUCGACCCCCUCGGUAGCGAAGCUAACGCGUUAAGUAUCCCGCCUGUGGAGUACGGUCGCAAGACUAAAACAUAAAGGAAUUGACGGGGAUCAGCACAAGCGGUGGAUCGUGUUCUUUAAUUCGAUGAUAAACGAAGAACCUUACCAGGGCUUGACAUCCAGGGAAGCACUACGAAAGUAGAGUGUGCCUUUUGGAACCCUGUGACAGGUGUUGCAUGGCCGUCGUCAGCUCGUGUCGUGAGAUGUUUGGUUAAGUCCAUCAACGAGCGCAACCCUUGUGAAUAGUUGUAUUUUUCUAUUCAGACUGCUCUAGUAAUAGGGAGGAAGGAGGGGAUGAUGUCAGGUCAGUAUUACCCGUUACGUCCUGGGCUAGAAACACGAUACAAUGGCAAGUACAAUGCGCAGACGAAGCAGGUGAGUGUGGAGCAAAUCGCACCAGAGCUUGUCCUAGUUCGGAUAAGAGGCUGAAACUCGCUCGUUA
rnacentral:rRNA from 1 species